rnacentral:lncRNA from 1 species
UUUUUUUUUAUUUUUUUGAAAAAAAUACUUCAAAAUGAAAGAAACCCAUAUUUUGGAUUUUUAUUUUUAUUUUUAUUUUUUUAUUUUUCCGUAUGAAAGACUUCAGAAAGAAGGAAACUACUUUUUUUAGUUUAAAAGUCUCUUUUUUCUUCUUCUUCUUCUUUUUUGAAUUUUCUAAGAAAAAACUUCUAAAGAGGAAUUGAAGGAAAAUAUUUUUAGAUUUUAAAAAAUUGGGGCCGAAACCGAUGAGGCUUGCCUAUGUAUCUCACAUCCGGUGAGUUUCAGACCCGCGUAGUUCGGUGAGUUUUGAAAAAUUCAGAAGAGACAUGUUAUUAACUCAUUUUGGAAAAAAUUUGGCAGAGUUUUGGGACAUUUUUAAAUACCGAGGUUUUCAAAACCGGGUUUAUUUCCUUCCUACAUCACUCUUGGUUUUUCUCUUAAUAUCCUUUUCCUAGCUAGUCAACAUGCAAGCCGAAACAAAUAAAUAUUCACAUAGCAUGUAGGAUGCAUCAGGAUGGUCUAUUAUUUUGGGUACACCUUUCCUAUACGGACCCAACCCUGUGUUGAGUCCCCAAGGUCAAAUGCAUGUGAUACAAACAAACGUUCCUACUAGGGAUCCAGCAUGAUGUUAUGUUCUUCUAAGUUUAAACAUGGGGUUGUGUUCUAGACCUGGCUUACCCGAGCGGACAACUCGAGCCAAGGAGGGGGCAACGUACCAGGAGCACGAAAGCCUACCCGGCCUUGUUGCUGGCUCAGCCUCGUUCUAUUUGGUAUGACUUCUAAAAAAAAUGGGCCACGCGAAUGUGUUCAUCGUUUUUAGAAGACUCAGAAGGGAGGCAUAGGGAGACAGUUUAAGUAAUAUCAAAGCGGUAAAUAAGCGGUAAUUAACACAUUAGGUCCAUAAAAUACAGUAAUAUCAACAAUAAAUAAAGCCAAGUAAAAAUCAUAUUAACAAGCUUGAAUUCUUGAACCCUAAACCAGAGAUUCUGGGUUCUCAUCCCCAGCAGAGUCGCCAGAGCUAUCACACCUCCUUUUUAUACCCGAGAGGGUCUAUAAGGGAAUUUUUCCAAUUAAAGUGACAUCAUUCGAAAUGGAAUUAUUUUAUUUAUUUUUUAAGAAUUGCCACUUGGAAUAGUUUAUUAUGGUGUACCAAGUCACUGGUUUAUUUUAAAUCUCAAAUCGAGGAAAUUUUUGACUUUAUUUAAAAGUCUGCGAACCAGAAAUUCUAGAUAAGGAAUUUUGUUAACCCGGGAGAAGGUAUUAGGUAUUUCCGGGUUCCGUGGUUCUAGCAUGGUUGCUUAGAUCAUACCUGUCUUAAUUAAAGUAUCUAAUUACUUAUUUUAGGACCUAUGUACAUCUACCCCCUUUACCGCUUUUAUUGGCUUAAUCAUUCUUAAUUAAGGAAUUAUCUAAAAAUAAAUAAAUGAGUCACGCGUACGUGUACUCAUUUCGUUUGGCGUGUCAAAAAUCAUGUCACGCGUAUGUGUCUACAAUUAAUCACGCUUUAUUGUUAUCAAGAAAGUUCGGUCGAAGUUGCACGAAUGUAUAUCUCGAUUUGUUUUGAGGAUCGUAAUCAUGUAUAACGAACGUGUACACAAUCAAGAUGAUAGAUUGAGUCACGCCUAAAGCAAGCUACGAAUGUUCAUGGUUAUUCUAAAAACUAAUUUGAGAUUUAUUAAUUGGAUUGGCAAGAAGAACAUUCAGCACAUUAUUCGAAACUAAGGUAAUCAAGCUAGAAGGUUUGCUGCUUUUGAUAGAUUCAUGUAAAUUGGUCUCCUUUUUUAGCCAAGAAAGUGUAUCAUUUGGUUUCAACCCACAGAACUCUCACUCUAAUCAUAUGAAGAUGAAGUACAAGGCAGAGAUAAAUUCAAAAUAUAUACUGACCAACAUAAAAUUCAGAAAUACCAACUCCCCUAAAGCCUAAAGUUUAAAGAGCAGAACGUGAAACUACAGGAUUAGAACGAAAGUCUGCAACAGGAGAACGUGAAACUAUAUGGAGAAAGUGAAAGCCAGCUACAUGAGAAUGUGAAACUACAUGAAGAAAUGAUUUAGACCAAUUUAACAUAUAAUCCUAACAUGAAAGAAAAUGGAUAUGAGAUUUAUCAAAGCUAGUAUCUAUAUGAUCUAAAAUGAGACCAUGAAUUACUAUGCUUGAUCAAAAACUCAUGAAGUCUGUCCUUCCAACAUGUGAAUUCAAAGGAACGAAAUCUUUCACAUUUUUAAUCCAAAGACAGCACACAAAUUGCUUCUGGAAACUGUUAAUUGGAGGCUCAACAGGUUAUUAGACACGACAGUGAUAAUUAACUCUCAAAUAUACCCACAAUCUCAUCACACAUCAAGUACUUUUGAUAAUCCCAAAAGACUUAUUGCUUUCAAUUCCAACUAAAUAAAGUUUAGAACAUGAAAAUUUUGCCGCAACACAACAAAACAUUUCAUAACACAAAGUAAAAAUCUUACCAAUUUAAUACCUAAUUAUUAGAACCAAAGUAAGGUAAGAAGAUCAUUCUUGGAGUUCCAUGUAAAUGGAAAUGGAUAUUUUUUAGAGGCAAAAUCUUAUUUAUGAGCUAAAGGUCGAGAGAUAGAACAUUGAGUCAAUCCAAAGGAUGAGUUCAAAAUAUUCCAACAUAUUUUAGUCUCAAACAUUGCAUAUUUGGUUUAGUGACAGAGGAUUAACUAUAUGCUAACCUAAAAUCAUAAACUGAAAAAGUAGGACACUGCAAAUUACAUCAAUCAAAUAUUCAAAUUAAAGCAUAUUAAACAACUCAAAUAAACAACAAAUCAGAAUAUAGCUCAAAUCAUAGUCAUCUUGUACUGCUAUGGACUAACAUGUAAACCCAGACAACUAGAUGCAAAAUCAAAAUCUCAAACAGCCCUUCCAAGGCUUCUACCAGCUGUAAGAAAAUUAAGAUAGAAUAGUGGAAAAUAAACCCGUUGAGCAAAAUCCUUUAAUAAUAACAGAAUGUAGUUAUCAAAUACAAGCUUGAGUUCAAAUCCACUCCAAGAGAAAAACUCGAAAAUCAGGAACUUGAUGGAAACAAAACAUAGCAAAACGUGAGGAGCUCAGCAUCAUGAAUCCGCCAGAAAAUCAGCAACAAAAAAUCAACAAAUUUAGACCUCUAUAGCUUGUGAAAAUCCAGAAAAAGGAAUUCAUCUCUGAAAUCGUAUUUCUUCAAAUCUUUAUCGAAAAAUCCAGUUUUCUUUCUAUUAUUUCUAGCUUUUGAUUUUCAGAUCUUCAGCUAAAAAAACAACAUUGUUUCAACUGGGUUUGGGCGGUAAUUUUCGGCAGUUUGCUUGAGGGGAGUGGCUCAUUUUUGUCCCUCUCGGUUGUUGCUUGUUUUUAGAGCUAAAGUAACAUAUUUUCAUGGCUGAAACGGGCUAGGAUGGAAGAUGAAGAUGGAGAUGGUUGUUUUUCGCUGAGGAAGAGCUAAGCUCUGGAAUGCCGUUGCCAGUUUUUGUCGAGGAGAGGGUCUCUUUCUCUAUUGAAAAUGAGAGAUGGUUAGAGAGAGAGCAGUCCCCUCUCUCUUGAGGUAACGACGCUGUCUCUAUAAAGAUAGAGGGUGGGGUCCGAUUAUUUUUGUUCUAG